CCCACAACUACCACAGCAUCCACAACUACCACAGCACCCACAACUACCACAGCACCCACAACUACCACAGCACCCACAACUACCACAGCACCCACAACUACCACAGCACCCACAACUACCACAGCACCCACAACUACCACAGCACCCACAACUACCACAGCACCCACAACUACCACAACUACCACAGCACCCACAACUACCACAGCAUCCACAACUACCACAGCACCCACAACUACCACAGCACCCACAACUACCACAGCACCCACAACUACCACAGCACCCACAACUACCACAGCACCCACAACUACCACAGCACCCACAACUACCACAGCAUCCACAACUUUAAGUACACACCCAACCACCGAUCUCACAACCCAUAUUGUGGACGGUACAACAACGAGCAGUGGGCCUAGAUACGUUGUUGUACUGAGGAUAAAACUGUCCUCUCUGAUCCCACUAACAGAUGACUACAUCAGAAAUGUGGUUUUACAGCAGCUCCGUGAGGAACUGAUCAGACAAGGGCUGCCAGGGGACUUCGCGCUACGCCUGAGAGCCACUCAUGGGAUCAGUUCCUGAGGGAGGAACAGGAAUUCAGAUCAACAUUCUUCACUCCUACUUGUCUUGUCUUCCUGGUUCUGAUUCUGCAGAAAGUUCUUCUGAAGAAGAAGUGGUUCCUUAUAAUGACAGAAUAUGGUUGAUUUGUACUAAUCUCUUGGGACAGACGCACGUAACAUGAAUUAUGAUUUUUGUUCUGGAUUGCCAGGAUUAGUUGAAUGGACUGACAGUGCUUCUGACUGGAUGUUAGUUGAAUGACUAACAUGACUGGGGUUCUUUCCUGUUUGGUAAUGUACAGAGGUAGACUGGGGUUCUUUCCUGUUUGGUAAUGUACAGAGGUAGACUGAGGUUAUUUUCUGUUUGGUAAUGUACAGAGGUAGACUGAGGGUCUUUACUGUGUCAAGAAUGGUUGGUUGAGGCUCAGUUUUCUGUGACAUUUUAGUGACAGAGGACACCGGUAGGGAGGACCCACUUGUAAACACCCACACACACUCAGGAAGACGUUUCACUUUCACUCACACAUGGAGCAUAAAGAGGAAUGAACAAUGAGGUUGAAUUGACACUGACGAAAGAGAAGAAGAAAUGAAUUGACACUGACUAAAGAGAAGAAGAAAUGAAUUAACACUGACUAAAGAGAAGAAGAAAUGAAUUGACACUGACUAAAGAGAAGAAGAAAUGAAUUGACACUGACGAAAGAGA
ensembl:lncRNA